rnacentral:rRNA from 1 species
CCUACGGGAGGCAGCAGUGGGGAAUAUUGGGCAAUGGGCGCAAGCCUGACCCAGCAACGCCGCGUGAAGGAAGAAGGCUUUCGGGUUGUAAACUUCUUUUCUCAGGGACGAAGCAAGUGACGGUACCUGAGGAAUAAGCCACGGCUAACUACGUGCCAGCAGCCGCGGUAAUACGUAGGUGGCAAGCGUUAUCCGGAUUUACUGGGUGUAAAGGGCGUGUAGGCGGGGACGCAAGUCAGAUGUGAAAACCACGGGCUCAACCUGUGGCCUGCAUUUGAAACUGUGUUUCUUGAGUACUGUAGAGGCAGACGGAAUUCCUAGUGUAGCGGUGAAAUGCGUAGAUAUUAGGAGGAACACCAGUGGCGAAGGCGGUCUGCUGGACAGCAACUGACGCUGAGGCGCGAAAGCGUGGGGAGCAAACAGGAUUAGAUACCCGAGUAGUC